UCCUAGCUGACUGGCAGGUAUUUAUAUUAAGUAAUCUGCGGCUUCUGAACCAGCUUCCAACUAAAUUAAAAUAAACUCGACAGUCAGCUGCAAUGUUCGGUUGUCCGUCUGGUCCUGGUCUGGCGAAUACCUUGAGCCCCUUUAGGGUUGGAAAGGGAUGAUGUUGCGGUGGUGAGAUCCCUCGUUGGAUGUGGCAGAGGUGGCUUGGGCUUUAUUAAUUUUUUCUUUUGGUUUGAUAAUUUUAUAUUUAGUUUUCUUUAAAAAUUUUAGUUCUUGAAUUUUGCACUUUUAGCUUUAUGUUUCCAGUUUCCUUUC